rnacentral:RNase_P_RNA from 3 species
AGAGUAGGCGCAGGCGGUUGCAGAUCAGUUUCGUUGAAACUAAUUUGAGGAAAGUCCGGACUCCCGAAAGACCAAACUUGCUGGAUAACGUCCAGUGCGAGCGAUCGUGAGGAUAGUGCCACAGAAAGAUACCGCCAAAUAAAGUUAGGAGAACGGAGUAGGAGUUUUGAAUUCAUAACUCAUAACUCAUAACUCAUAACUCAUAACUCAUAACUAAUUUGGUAAGGGUGCAAAGGUGCGGUAAGAGCGCACCAGCAGCGUUGAGAAGCGCUGGCUCGGUAAACCCCGGUUGGGAGCAAGGCGAGAGGAACUACGGUUGGUCUUUUACCAGUUCCGUUAUAAAAGAGCCGCUAGAGGCGUUUGGUAACAAGCGUCCCAGAUAGAUAACUGCCCUCGCAAGAGAACAGAACCCGGCUUACGAUCCGACUCUCUCC